rfam:Hordeum vulgare subsp. vulgare, WGS project CAJW01000000 data, contig: morex_contig_1571211
UUAAUACUCCCUCCGUUCAAAAAUACUUGUCCUAAAAAUGCAUAUAAUGAAUGUAUCUAUAAUUAAAAUAAGUCUAGAUACAUUCAUCUCUAGGACAAGUAUUUCCAGACGGAGGUAGUAUAAU